UGGUCUAUGAUGACAAACCAAUGUCAUGAAGAGAGGUGAUGAUAUACAACCACAUGCUCACUUGGAUUACGCUUGAGGCCC